AGGUUGCGGCAAUAACAGGUCUGUGAUGCCCUCAGAUGUCCCGGGCUGCACACGUGCUACAAUGAGUGGCGCAAUGUGCUAAUGUUUAAGGGAUAAGAGUGUGGUCAGUAGAACGUCGGGAUUUCCCCUGACGUCUCCCCCGCACGAUUAUCAGCCUUCCCUUAACAGGGCGGGCAACCUUUUCAAAAUACUGGUUUGAUGUUAAAGUAUUGAGUCGUUUUUUUUGGAUGGUGGUUUGUUAACCAAUACCAUCCGGCAACUGCUCGCGAGUUUGUGGUUCUGGCGACUCAUGGUGGGGACCGACGUUUGUAAUUUUUUGUCGCGUGUUAACUAGGAAUGCCUUGUACUGUCGAUUCACUAAGUUACUGGGAAUACGUCCCUGCCCUUUGUACACACCGCCCGUCGCUCUUAC
rnacentral:rRNA from 1 species